UGUUCCUCUAAAUCCUCCUCCUGCUCCCGGAGCGUAAAGUGCACUCAGGUGUGCAGCAGGUCGAGGGAGGAGAGAGAGCCAGGGAGAGACAACAUGGCCGCACAUAACUCAGUCCAAUCAGCAACCGUGCAGAAGUGAAAUCCUCCUCUCCAGACAUUUCUUGGUCCAUGACGUCCCCCCUGAAGGAGCGCCGCUUCAGCGGUUUCUGUAAGCCGAUGCUUUCUUGCUGGAGUGUGGAGGGAGUCGGCGCAUGGAGAGAGGGGGGGGCACCCUGACGAAGCAUGGAGGAGGAAGAAUGAGGCGUGAGGCUGAAUCAAAGAGCUGACUCGUCUCGUGCUGUGAGAUGGAAACAGUCAAAGCAGAUGGAUGGCGUGCUGCAGAGGGACAAACGUGAAGCUUCCUGUCUCAUGACACAUGAGAAAAUGAAAUCUUAAUUCUUCUCACCAGCUCG